GUCUUUUUGUGAUUUAUUAAAAGUCUAACCUGCCCAUUGAAAUUUUAAAAGGCUGCAGUAUUUUGACUGUACAAAGGUAGCAUAAUCAUUAGUUUUUUAAUUGGGAACUAGAAUGAAUGGUUGAAUGAGGAAUUAACUGUUUUAAUUAAAGUAUCUUGAACUUUACUUCCUUAUUAAAAGGUAAGGAUAAUUUUAAAAGACGAGAAGACCCUAUAGAAUUUUAUAUAAAUUGAGGAAAUUAGUACGUAAAGUUUAAUUUAACUAAUUUUUUAAUUUAUAUUUUGUUGGGGUGACAAUAAAAUUUAAUGAACUUUUAUUUUUAUUAUACACAGAUUAGUGGUUAAUUGAUCCAUUUUUAAUGAUUAAAAGAUUAAAUUACCUUAGGGAUAACAGCGUAAUUUUCUUUUUAAGUUCAUAUUUUUAAAAAAUUUUGCGACCUCGAUGUUGGAUUAAGAAAAUAUUUAGGUGCAGCCGCUUAAAUUUUAAGUCUGUUCGACUUUUAAAUUCUU
rnacentral:rRNA from 1 species